rnacentral:lncRNA from 1 species
GUCAGGGUUUCACUUGAAUGAAAUCAGUCCAUUCUCAUCUGCUGGGUUAGUAAUGUUACUGUAUAAACAUCUACCUCCACAUUUAAAUAUCUUUUUCAACUUGAUAGAUUAUAAAUGGUUUUUGGACUGGGUUAUAUAGCUCAAUGGUAUAGUAUGUGGAAGGCCCUUGAUUGAAUCCCAUCUUGAGAGCUGGUUGUUGGGUACACUUGUGAUUCUUUUGCACAUGGGCUCAGAAGUUUGGGAGGAUCAAUAAGCUUGGGUGCUCUAGACAAGCUCUUUAAAAAAGAAAACCAAAGAUAUGUCUACAGAAAAAAAAAGAUAGAGGUUCUAUAUUGAGUGUUUUUUUUUUUUUCCUGGCUGAUUACUACUUCCUAUUGUGAACUGUGUGAACUCUAUUUCAAAAGCUUUAUCCUUCAUCAUGUAUGAUACAGAUAAUUUUUGCAAUUUCUUUAACUACAUCAUGGCAGGUCAUUUCUUUCAUUUUAAGCUUUUCUAUUUCUGUCAGUGCAGCUUUGCCCGUGGCACAGUCUCAGUAGCCAAAUGAAAUUCCUUAUAGGUCAGUCAUACAGAGCUCUCUGUCCUGUCAUUUGCACUAUCAGAUUCCAACAUUAAACUGCAGCCCAAAGGUCUGUUAGCAUCGUAAUGUGUAUAAGUAUGUACAUACAUGACUGCUCUUAUCUGCAGUUCUUGGUUUUAGAGAUGUUUAUAAUCUAGAGAAAUGAUGCAGCCAAAGUAUAUAAAGUUGGAUGUUGUUGCUUCUGCUAAGGGAAGAGCAUGUGCCAGUAAACAUGCUCCUGUCGUUCUAAUAUGCCAAUCAAUGUUAAAAAAAAUUUGGAGCCAUCAUAAAGUUUCCAAAGAACUAAUUUUCUGCUCCAAAUACACUGCCAUCUUUCCAUUUUUUCCUAAUUGCUUCUGUUUCCACAGCCUUCAUGGCAUAUUCAAUUUGAAAAGCUUCCAAAAGAAGAGAAAGUAAAGGCUGACAGGCCAUACCUGGUUCAAAUGGAAUUCAGGGUGCUGACCCACCAAGCUGUGGAGGGCUUGCAGGCCUGAAGUAGCAUCUUUCUGGGGAUGAUAUGUGAUUUGAGACAGGGUUCCUCUAUGUAACCCUGGCUGUCUUGGAACUUGACAAGUGGACCAGGCUGGCCUCAAACUUCCUAAGAUCUGUCUGCCUCUGCAUCUGCUUUUAUAACAUUUUUAUGUUAUGAAACAUAUAUUUUUCAAGAGCCUAUUGACACGGGGUUUUACUUCUUACCAUGUAGUCCAGUCCAGCCUAAAACUGAAAUCCUGGCUCUGCCCACGAAGUACUGGGAUUGUAGGAAUGUGCCACCCACUUUUUUCCCUUUGUAGUUUUUUGAGAUUGUAGCCCUGGCUGAUCCUGAACUUGCUUUGUAAACAAGGCUAACCUUCUGCUUCAGUCUCUGAAGUGUUAGGAGUCACAGGCCUGUGUGGUCAUGCUUAGUUAGCCUUUUUAUCUUUUCAUGUCUAAACUUCCAUCUUGUUUGUAAAUUGGUAUGUAUGACUUGGGUAUAGAUGAUAGCUUUUUUGAUACUUCAUAGUUUUUCAGGUCAGAAAGUUUAACUACAUACUGUCACCUGGGUUUUGAGCCUUUUUAGGUAACCAGUCUUGGAUUGGAAGUUUUUUGCACUUGAAUGUAAGAAUAUUCUUCCUUUUUGUUUUAUGUAUAUGAGUGUUUUGCCUGCAUGUAUGUCUAUGUACCAUGCUCAUGCCUAAUACGCUCAGGUCAGAAUAAAGUCAUUAGAUUCCCUG